rnacentral:rRNA from 1 species
GAUGAGCGCUGGCGGCGUGCCUAAUACAUGCAAGUCGAGCGAACGGACGAGAAGCUUGCUUCUCUGAUGUUAGCGGCGGACGGGUGAGUAACACGUGGAUAACCUACCUAUAAGACUGGGAUAACUUCGGGAAACCGGAGCUAAUACCGGAUAAUAUUUUGAACCGCAUGGUUCAAAAGUGAAAGACGGUCCUGCUGUCACUUAUAGAUGGAUCCGCGCUGCAUUAGCUAGUUGGUAAGGUAACGGCUUACCAAGGCAACGAUGCAUAGCCGACCUGAGAGGGUGAUCGGCCACACUGGAACUGAGACACGGUCCAGACUCCUACGGGAGGCAGCAGUAGGGAAUCUUCCGCAAUGGGCGAAAGCCUGACGGAGCAACGCCGCGUGAGUGAUGAAGGUCUUCGGAUCGUAAAACUCUGUUAUUAGGGAAGAACAUAUGUGUAAGUAACUGUGCACAUCUUGACGGUACCUAAUCAGAAAGCCACGGCUAACUACGUG